CCUACGGGUGGCAGCAGUGGGGAAUAUUGCACAAUGGGGGGAACCCUGAUGCAGCAAUGCCGCGUGGGUGAAGAAGCACUCCGGUGCGUAAAGCCCUGUCAGCAGGGAAGAAAAUGACAGUACCUGGACAAGAAGCCCCGGCUAACUACGUGCCAGCAGCCGCGGUAAUACGUAGGGGGCAAGCGUUAUCCGGAUUUAUUGGGUUUAAAGGGUGCGCAGGCGGCCUGUUAAGUCAGCGGUAAAAGCCCGGGGCUCAACCCCGGCGAGCCGUUGAAACUGGCGGGCUGGAGUUGGAGAGAAGUACGCGGAAUGCGCGGUGUAGCGGUGAAAUGCUUAGAUAUCGCGCAGAACCCCGAUUGCGAAGGCAGCGUACCGGCUCCACACUGACGCUGAGGCACGAAAGCGUGGGUAUCGAACAGGAUUAGAUACCCCGGUAGUC
rnacentral:rRNA from 1 species